rnacentral:rRNA from 1 species
AACCCGACUGGGGGAUGGCUCGGCUCGAGAGCCGAAGAAGGUCGUGACAAGCUGCGAUAAGUUGCGGGGAGAGGCAAGAAUCUCUUGGAUCCGCAAAUUGCUGAAUUGGACCUCCUGGCACUCUGUGCCAUUCCUCAUUGAGGAAAGGGAACCUCCUGAACUGAAGCAUCUCAGUAGGGAGAGGAAAAGAAAUCAAACGAGAUUCCGUUAGUAGUGGCGAAUGAACACGGAAUAGGACAAACCGAAUCUCUAUGGGAAACCUUAGAGAAAUGUGGGGUAAGGAUCAUCUGUAGUCUAAGUGCAGGAAGUGGAAGUCGUCCUGGAACGGCGCACCACAGAGGGUGAAAGUCCCGUACACGUAUUGCAUAUGGCCAAGUGAUGAAUCCUGAGUAGCGUGCGUUGGAUAUCGCGCGUGAAUAUGGGAGGCAGAUACUUCCAAUCCUGAAUACUACUCGAGACCGAUAGUUGACAAGUAGCGUGAGCGAAAGCUGAAAAGUAUCCUUAGCGGGAUGUGAAAAGACCCUGAAACCAGUCGGGAACAAGCUGAAUAGGCGUGAAAGCGAAGAUAUGAGCAGCGUCUAUUCUUGCGUUUCGAAAAAUGCCCCUGGGAGUUCUGAUCAUUGGCGAGGUUAAGCAGUUGAACUGCGAAGCCGAAGGGAAACCGAAAGGUCCGCAGCCGCGUAAGCGGUCAGGGACUGGGUGAGCUCGCCCGGAGUCAAUGGUGGGAGACCUGAAGCCUAUCGAUCUAUGCCUGGCCAGUCUGAAGCCCGAUGAAAAUUGGGUGGAGGGACGAACCGUUGCUGAUGUGCAAAUCGCUCGGAAGAGUUGGGUAUAGGGGUGAAAGUCCAAUCGAGAUGGGCAAUAGCAGGUUCCGCGCGAGACUACUCGUAGGUAGACCUCCGUAGAGAUAGAAUGCGAGGUAGAGCACUGAUUGGGUGUUUAGGGGGAGCAAUCCCUCGGCACGCUGUCAAACUCCAAAGUUGCAUUCAUCGUAGAAGCGGGGAGUGAGCCACGGUGGGUAAGCUACCGUGACGAAAGGUGAAGAAACCAGCUCAGCGUUAAGGUCCCAAAAUUUCAGUUAAGUGUUAAUCACAAACGGCGUCCGUGGUCGAAGACAACCAGAAGGUGGGCUUAGAGGCAGCCAUCCUUGAAAGAGUUCGUAACAGAUCACUGGUCAAGCUUGCGGGCCCGAAAAAUGGACGGGACUCAAACUGAAUACCGAUACGCUGACCCUCCGAAAGGAGAUGGGGUAGCGCGGCGACAUGGUCGGGUAGAAGCUAGGUCGUGAGAUCUAGUGGACCGUCUAUGUAUGAGAAUCUAGGGAAGAGUAGCAGCAUAGUGCGGUGAGAAUCCGCACCACCGAAGGGGCCAGGAUUCCUCGGCAAUGUUUAUCAGCCGAGGGUUAGCCGGUCCUAAGGACAUCCUUAACCGAGAUGUUCGAAAGGGAAAUGCGUUAAUAUUCGUAUGCCCCUCUGCAAAUCUGGUAACGGCUCGGGCUAGUUCGUGCAUUCCUGUCAUGGGAUGUCGAAGCGUUCGAUAAUCGAUUGGAGAACCGUAAUGGUGAGAAGAUCGAGAAGGCGUGAGCAAAAGACGAAUGAGGCCAGGGUCCCGUGAAAAGCCGCAGAGGUGACCGUACCGAGAACUGACACAGGUGCCCCUGGGUGAGCAGCCUAAGGUGUGACGGGCAAAGUACCGCGAAGGAACUCGGCAAAAUAGCUCUGUAACUUCGGGAGAAGGAGUGCCAGCUUAGAGAUAAGCUGGUCGCAGUAACAAGGGGACUCCGACUGUUUAAUAAAAACAUAGCCGACUGCUAGAUCGAAAGGUUGUGUAUAGUCGGUGAAUCCUGCUCAGUGCCGGUAUCUGAAAUUGGGUUUCAACCUGACGAAGGACCGGUAAACAGCGGGGGUAACUAUGACCCUCUUAAGGUAGCGUAAUACCUUGUCGCUUAAUUGGCGACUUGCAUGAAUGGCACAACGAGAGUCCCACUGUCUCCGCGGUACGUCCGGCGAAAUUGACAUUACUGG